rnacentral:rRNA from 1 species
GGGUCAGCAGGUCGGUCGUGCCACUGGUAUGAACUGGCCUCGCUGAUCCCUCCCUCUUGACGAACUGUGAUGCCAUUAAUUUGGUGUCGCAGGGAAUCAGGACUGUUACUUUGAAAAAAUUAGAGUGUUUAAAGCAGGCUCACGCUUGAAUACAUUAGCAUGGAAUAAUGAAAUAGGACGUUUGAUCCUAUUUUGUUGGUUUCUAGGAUUGACGUA